AGCUCAGUGGUUCAAUGGUAAAGCGCUUGUCGCGGAGACAGAAGGUCCUGGGUUCGAUACCCAAUAGGGUCG
rnacentral:tRNA from 1 species